rnacentral:rRNA from 1 species
GACGAACGCUGGCGGCGUGCUUAACACAUGCGAGUCGAACGAUGACGCCCGAGCUUGCUCGGUCUGAUUAGUGGCGAACGGGUGAGUAACACGUGAGCAACCUGCCCUUCACUCUGGGAUAACCUCGGGAAAUCGGGGCUAAUACCGGAUAUGAGCUCCUGUCGCAUGGCGGGUGUUGGAAAGUUUUUCGGUGAAGGAUGGGCUCGCGGCCUAUCAGUUUGUUGGUGAGGUAGUGGCUCACCAAGGCGAUGACGGGUAGCCGGCCUGAGAGGGCGACCGGCCACACUGGGACUGAGACACGGCCCAGACUCCUACGGGAGGCAGCAGUGGGGAAUAUUGCACAAUGGGCGAAAGCCUGAUGCAGCGACGCCGCGUGAGGGAUGACGGCCUUCGGGUUGUAAACCUCUUUCAGCAGGGAAGAAGCGAAAGUGACGGUACCUGCAGAAGAAGCGCCGGCUAACUACGUG